GGGUAAGUAGGUUGGUCGUGCCACCGGUACGUACUGGUCUCACUGAUUCCUCCUUCCUGAAGAACCGUAAUGCCAUUAAUUUGGUGUUGCGGGGAAACAGGACUGUUACUUUGAAAAAAUUAGAGUGUCUAAAGCAAGCUAGCGCUUGAAUACAUUAGCAUGGAAUAAUGAAAUAGGACGAUCGAUCCUAUUUUGUUGGUUUCUAGGAUUGACGUA
rnacentral:rRNA from 1 species